GUUGUUUGAAAAUCACCCCCCGGCUUUGGCCGGUGGCCGCGGGUGAGAUUCGGCGCCCAGAGCCUCCGGGGGCCCUCAGCUCACCGCGCGCUACCCCAUUGUGCGGCGGUGAAACCCAGGCCCCGCAGGC
rnacentral:snoRNA from 1 species